rnacentral:rRNA from 1 species
AGGACGAACGCUGGCGGCGUGCUUAACACAUGCAAGUCGAGCGGAAAGGCCCUUCGGGGUACUCGAGCGGCGAACGGGUGAGUAACACGUGAGCAACCUGCCCUUAGCUCUGGGAUAGCUCCGGGAAACCGGAAUUAAUACCGGAUAUUACACCGGCUGGCAUCGGCUGGUGUGGAAAGAUUUAUCGGCUAAGGAUGGACUCGCGGCCUAUCAGCUUGUUGGUGGGGUAGAAGCCUACCAAGGCGACAACGGGUA